CCUACGGGAGGCAGCAGUGGGGAAUAUUGCACAAUGGGGGAAACCCUGAUGCAGCGACGCCGCGUGAAGGAAGAAGUAUUUCGGUAUGGAAACUUCUAUCAGCAGGGAAGAAAAGGACGGUACGUGAAUAAGAAGCCCCGGCUAACUACGUGCCAGCAGCCGCGGUAAUACGUAGGGGGCAAGCGUUAUCCGGAUUUACUGGGUGUAAAGGGAGCGUAGGCGGUUUAGCAAGUCAGAAGUGAAAGCCCCGGGCUCAACCCUGGGAUUGCGUCUGAAACUGUUGAACUAGAGUGCAGGAGAGGCAAGUGGAAUUCGUAGUGUAGCGGUGAAAUGCGUAGAUAUGACGAGGAACACCAGUGGCGAAGGCGGCUUACUGGACUGUAAAUGACGCUGAGGCUCGAAAGCGUGGGGAGCAAACAGGAUUAGAUACCCGUGUAGUC
rnacentral:rRNA from 1 species